rnacentral:pre_miRNA from 1 species
CAUCUACUCCUUCUGUUUCGAAUUACUUGUCGUAUGUAUGGAUGUAUCUAGAUGUAUUUUAGUUAUAGAUACAUCCAUUUUUACGACGAGUAAUUUAGAACGGAGAGAGUACUUG